rnacentral:rRNA from 1 species
AGUGAACGCUGGCGGUAGGCCUAACACAUGCAAGUCGAACGGCAGCACAGUAAGGGCUUGCUCUUACGGGUGGCGAGUGGCGGACGGGUGAGGAAUACAUCGGAAUCUACUUUUUCGUGGGGGAUAACGUAGGGAAACUUACGCUAAUACCGCAUACGACCUACGGGUGAAAGCAGGGGAUCUUCGGACCUUGCGCGAUUGAAUGAGCCGAUGUCGGAUUAGCUAGUUGGCGGGGUAAAGGCCCACCAAGGCGACGAUCCGUAGCUGGUCUGAGAGGAUGAUCGUCCACACUGGAACUGAGACACGGUCCAGACUCCUACGGGAGGCCGCAGUGGGGAAUAUUGGACAAUGGGCGCAAGCCUGAUCCAGCCAUACCGCGUGGGUGAAGAAGGCCUUCGGGUUGUAAAGCCCUUUUGUUGGGAAAGAAAAGCAGCAGGUUAAUACCCCGCUGUUCUGACGGUACCCAAAGAAUAAGCACCGGCUAACUUCGUG